rnacentral:rRNA from 1 species
GACGAACGCUGGCGGCGUGCUUAACACAUGUAAGUCGAACGGAAAGGCCCUGCUUUUGUGGGGUGCUCGAGUGGCGAACGGGUGAGUAACACGUGAGUAACCUGCCCUUGACUUUGGGAUAACUUCAGGAAACUGGGGCUAAUACCGGAUAGGAGCUCCUGCUGCAUGGUGGGGGUUGGAAAGUUUCGGCGGUUGGGGAUGGACUCGCGGCUUAUCAGCUUGUUGGUGGGGUAGUGGCUUACCAAGGCUUUGACGGGUAGCCGGCCUGAGAGGGUGACCGGCCACAUUGGGACUGAGAUACGGCCCAGACUCCUACGGGAGGCAGCAGUGGGGAAUAUUGCACAAUGGGCGGGAGCCUGAUGCAGCAACGCCGCGUGCGGGAUGACGGCCUUCGGGUUGUAAACCGCUUUCGCCUGUGACGAAGCGUGAGUGACGGUAAUGGGUAAAGAAGCACCGGCUAACUACGUG